UGCAGUCUAACGAGAAAGUCUUAGCUUGCUAAGACGAGUAAAGUGGCGAACGGGUGAGUAACGCGUGGGUAAUCUGCCCUUGAAUUUGGAAUAACUUCGCGAAAGCGGUGCUAAUACCGAAUAAUAUCGGUUUUACUUUGGUAAGACAGAUCAAAGACAGCCUCUGAUGUAAGCUGUUGUUUGAGGAUGAGCCCGCGUACCAUUAGCUUGUUGGUAAGGUAAAAGCUUACCAAGGCAACGAUGGUUAGCUGGUCUGAGAGGAUGAUCAGCCACACUGGAACUGAGACACGGUCCAGACUUCUACGGAAGGCAGCAGUAAGGAAUUUUGCGCAAUGGGGGAAACCCUGACGCAGCAACGCCGCGUGAGUGAAGAAGGAUUUCGGUUCGUAAAGCUCUGUCAAGUGGGAAGAAAGUAUCGAUUGCCAAUAACAAUCGGUAUUGACGGUACCGCUGAAGGAAGCACCGGCUAACUCCGUG
rnacentral:rRNA from 1 species